UGGGGAAUUUUGGACAAUGGGGGAAACCCUGAUCCAGCCAUCCCGCGUGUGCGAUGAAGGCCUUCGGGUUGUAAAGCACUUUUGGCAGGAAAGAAACGUCGCGGGUUAAUACCCCGCGAAACUGACGGUACCUGCAGAAUAAGCACCGGCUAACUACGUGCCAGCAGCCGCGGUAAUACGUAGGGUGCAAGCGUUAAUCGGAAUUACUGGGCGUAAAGCGUGCGCAGGCGGUUCGGAAAGAAAGAUGUGAAAUCCCAGAGCUUAACUUUGGAACUGCAUUUUUAACUACCGGGCUAGAGUGUGUCAGAGGGAGGUGGAAUUCCGCGUGUAGCAGUGAAAUGCGUAGAUAUGCGGAGGAACACCGAUGGCGAAGGCAGCCUCCUGGGAUAACACUGACGCUCAUGCACGAAAGCGUGGGGAGCAAACAGGAUUAGAUACCCUGGUAGUCCACGCCCUAAACGAUGUCAACUAGCUGUUGGGGCCUUCGGGCCUUGGUAGCGCAGCUAACGCGUGAAGUUGACCGCCUGGGGAGUACGGUCGCAAGAUU
rnacentral:rRNA from 1 species